AUUAAACUUUUUUUUAAUAUCUUUAAAUUAAAUAAAAAUACCUUUUUUUUUUUAACGCUGGGGAAUCCAUUUACGGAUACCCGGUCGAGGGGGGUAAAAAAUAAAAAAAUAAAAACACCUGUACAGUUAUCUUGAGUGUACCUACUCACCAGUUUUUAUCUUGAUAGUAACCCCUCGAUUGUAUACUUCAGCCGUUGACCUAUAAGUGCAUUCUGGGUCAAUCUGAACCAUGUUUUUUAAAUCGUAUGUCAGUACAUAUACUUUUUGGUUUUGUUAAAAAUGGACCUAAGUAAAUGUAAAUUUAUCUUUCACUCUCUUCGAGAAAUUAAAAAAUUUGGAAAAUGCUAAACAAUGAAUAACCAGUGAUUACACGUUUAAACCUGAAUAAUCACCACAUAUGUAAAUCAAGAAAUUAAACAAUUGACCCAACUUCGCUUCUCGCGUCGAUCGCCAAAAGAUCAUUCCUUUAGUAUUAUUAAUUUAGGCCCAUCAUGUUUCAUAUUUAAUUGAACAUAAAAUAUGUACUGUUUCAAAAUUGUUCAAAAUUAGAAUCAUUACCACUCUUAGAUGGUACUCGAAUUUUGGUAAAAUAAUGUACUGCUCGUAUUUAAUAAACUUGUGCAAUAUAAUUAGGUAGGUAAUAUUAUAGUGUGUAGUGGAAUAAGGUUCUUUCUAAUUUUGUUUGUAGCACUAUGCAACAUUUUAAUUUGGGAACUUUUUUGUUCAGUAAGUAGAUAAACAAAUAACAAUUGAAUUAUAAUUAAACAUAUAUAUUAUGUAACAACAAACUGGUAAAAACAAGCAUACAUGUAAUUUGACAAACUUACAAUAGAUGAAUAAAUGAAUGACCUCUGGGUAUUCAGAAUAUGAGUAGUGUGCAUAAUUUUGAAGUUUCCUAAAACAGACUGAAAGGAAUAUGUAUCCGUUUUUACGGAAUUUGUUCUCUUAAUUAUGUAAUUAAUGAGGCUUGCUCCUUUUUAUUUAAUCAAUGGAAUGUGAUUUUUCCAAUGAAAUAAUUACCAAUGCUAAAACAUUUUUUGUGACACGAUUAAAAUAAAAAAUUCAAGCAUC